rnacentral:lncRNA from 1 species
CCCUCAUCGUGCUUCCUUUAUCGAUCAAUAUACCGUAGUUAUUUUAUUCACACAUGGCAAACGACAAAAGGGAGGAAAGGACAUGUUUGAGCCUCUAGUUAAAUUAGAUGGACUCCAUCAUCUUUGUCGGAAACAGCUUGCAAGUCAUUGCCAACCACAAGGAAGAGAAUAGAUUCCAACAAAUCCCAGAGCUACCUCAAGCUGACUGUUUUACGUGGCUCGAGUGUAGGAUUUGGAAGCUUA